rfam:Deltaproteobacteria bacterium GWC2_42_11 gwc2_scaffold_5257, whole genome shotgun sequence.
AGCCGGGUCUUGCGCAGCGGUUAGGUUGCAAACCCCGCCAGGUCCGGAAGGAAGCAGCGGUAGUAACUCAAAUCCGGGUGCCGCAAGGGUGCCUGGCUAUC